GCGCUCACUUCGGCAGCACAUACACUAAAAUUGGAAUGAUACGGAGAAGAUUAGCAUUGGUUCCUGUGCAAGGAUGGUAUGCUAAUUUGUGAAGCAUUCCAUAUUUAA